rnacentral:rRNA from 1 species
CCUACGGGAGGCAGCAGUGAGGAAUAUUGGUCAAUGGACGCAAGUCUGAACCAGCCAAGUAGCGUGCAGGAUGACGGCCCUCCGGGUUGUAAACUGCUUUUAGUUGGGAAUAAAAGGGGGCUCGUGAGCCCCGUAUUGUAUGUACCAUCAGAAAAAGGACCGGCUAAUUCCGUGCCAGCCGCCGCGGUAAUACGGAGGGUCCGGGCGUUACCCGGAUUUAUUGGGUUUAAAGGGAGCGUAGGCCGGCUUUUAAGUCAGCUGUGAAAGUCCGGGGCUCAACCGUGGAAGUGCAGUGGAAACUGGAUGCCUUGAGUGCACACAGGGAAGACGGAAUUCAUGGUGUAGCGGUGAAAUGCUUAGAUAUCAUGAAGAACUCCGAUCGCGAAGGCGAGUGUCCGGGGUGCAACUGACGCUGAGGCUCGAAAGUGCGGGUAUCAAACGGGAUUAGAGACCCGAGUAGUC